CCUACGGGUGGCAGCAGUGGGGAAUAUUGGGCAAUGGGCGCAAGCCUGACCCAGCCAUGCCGCGUGAGUGACGAAGGCCUUAGGGUUGUAAAGCUCUUUUGGCGGGGACGAUAAUGACGGUACCCGCAGAAUAAGCCCCGGCUAACUUCGUGCCAGCAGCCGCGGUAAUACGAAGGGGGCUAGCGUUGUUCGGAAUCACUGGGCGUAAAGCGCACGUAGGCGGACUUUCAAGUCAGGGGUGAAAUCCCGGGGCUCAACCUCGGAACUGCCUUUGAUACUGUUGGUCUCGAGUCCGAUAGAGGUGGGUGGAAUUCCUAGUGUAGAGGUGAAAUUCGUAGAUAUUAGGAAGAACACCGGUGGCGAAGGCGGCCCACUGGAUCGGUACUGACGCUGAGGUGCGAAAGCGUGGGGAGCAAACAGGAUUAGAUACCCCGGUAGUC
rnacentral:rRNA from 1 species